rnacentral:rRNA from 1 species
UACGAAGGGGGCUAGCGUUGUUCGGAUUUACUGGGCGUAAAGCGCACGUAGGCGGUUUGUUAAGUCAGGGGUGAAAUCCCGGAGCUCAACUCCGGAACUGCCUUUGAUACUGGCAACUAGAGUCCGGAAGAGGUAAGUGGAACUCCUAGUGUAGAGGUGGAAUCGUAGAUAUUAGGAAGAACACCAGUGGCGAAGGCGCUUCUGGUC